GACGAACGCUGGCGGCGUGCUUAACACAUGCAAGUCGAACGGAAAGGCCCUGCUUUUGUGGGGUGCUCGAGUGGCGAACGGGUGAGUAACACGUGAGUAACCUGCCCUUGACUUUGGGAUAACUUCAGGAAACUGGGGCUAAUACCCGAUAGGAGCUCCUGCUGCAUGGUGGGGGUUGGAAAGUUUCGGCGGUUGGGGAUGGACGGGCGGCUUAUCAGCUUGUUGGUGGGGUAGUGGCUUACCAAGGCCUUGACGGGUAGCCGGCCUGGGAGGGUGACCGGCGACAUUGGUACUGAGAUACGGCGCAGUCGCCUACGGGAGGCAACAGUGGGGAGUCUUGCACAAUGGGCGGGAGCCUGAUGCGGCAACGCCGCGUGCGUGAUGACGGCCUUCGGGUUGUGAACCGCUUUCGCCUGUGACGAAGCGUAAGUGACGGUAAUGGGUAAAGAAGCACCGGCUAACUACGUG
rnacentral:rRNA from 1 species